CCAAAGGAAUUGACGGGGACCCGCACAAGCGGUGGAUGAUGUGGAUUAAUUCGAUGCAACGCGAAAAACCUUACCUACCCUUGACAUGUCUGGAAUCCCGAAGAGAUUUGGGAGUGCUCGCAAGAGAACCGGAACACAGGUGCUGCAUGGCUGUCGUCAGCUCGUGUCGUGAGAUGUUGGGUUAAGUCCCGCAACGAGUACAACCUUGUCAUUAGUUGUUUCAUGAAAGGGCACCUCUAAUGAGACUGCCGGUGACAAACCGGAGGAAGGUGGAUGACGUCGUCCCUCAUGGCCCUUAUGGGGUAGGGCUUCACACGUCAUACAAUGGUCGGGACAGAGGGUCGCCAACCCGCGAGGGGGAGCCAACCAGAAACCGAUCAGGAAUCCUUGAUCGCAGUCUGCAAUCGACUGCGCGAAGUCGGAAUCGCUAGUAAUCGCGGAUCAGCAUGUCGCGGUGAAUACGUUCCUGGGUCUUGUACACACCGCCCGUCACACAUGGGAGUGGUUUUACCAGAAGUAGUUAGCCUAACCGUAAGGAGGGCGAUUACCACGGUAGGAUUCAUGACUGGGGUGAAGUCGUAACAAGGUAG
rnacentral:misc_RNA from 1 species